GCACCAGCCUAGCCCGCCCAAAACAAAUAAAACUUAACAAAAAAAUAAUCUCACUAAAACUAACCAAAACAUUUCUACCACCCCAGUAUAGGCGAUAGAAAAGACAAUCCGGAGCAAUAGAGACAGUACCGCAAGGGAAAAAUGAAAAAUAAUGAAACUUACUAAGCCACAAAAAGCAAAGAUUAACCCUUGUACCUUUUGCAUCAUGAUUUAGCCAGCAUACUCAAGCAAAGGGCCCUAAAGUCUGAGCCCCCGAAACCAAAUGAGCUACUUAUAAGACAAGCCAUUAACCAUGACUAAACCCGUCUCUGUGGCAAAAGAGUGGGAAGAUCUAUAAGUAGAGGUGAAAAGCCUAACGAAUUUGGUGAUAGCUGGUUGCUCAACAAAAGAAUAUAAGUUCAACCUUAAACCUUCUAUAAACAACUCAAAGUACAAAGAAAAGUUUAAGAGCUAUUCAAUUGAGGUACAGCUCAAUUGAAAAAGGAUACAACCUCACAACGUAGGACAAAACACUAAAAAUAAAACUACCGUAGGCUUUAAAGCAGCCAUCGCCUAAGAAAGCGUCAAAGCUCUAUUAAUCAUUAAAUAACAACAUCAAAAUUUUUCCACAAACAACACUGAGCUAUUCUACCUAAAUAGAAGAACCAAUGCUAAAAUGAGUAACAAGAAGACAAAACUUCUCUGAUGCAUCAACUUAAAUCAUAAUAGACAAACUACUGAUUAUUAACAAUUAUACUACAACAUAACAACAAUUAAAACACCUUAUAGACUUAACUGUUAACCCAACACAGGAAUGCAUACAAGAAAGAUUAAAAUUUGCAAAAGGAAUUAGGCAAAUAAAUGAACCCGACUGUUUACCAAAAACAUAGCCCCCAGCAACAUACAAGUAUUAGGGGUAAUGCCUGCCCAGUGACACCAUUUAAACGGCCGCGGUAUUCUAACCGUGCAAAGGUAGCGUAAUCACUUGUCCUUUAAAUAAGGACUAGAAUGAAUGGCCAAACGAGGUUCUACCUGUCUCUUGCAAACAAUCAGUGAAAUUGAUCCCCCUGUGCAAAAGCAGGAAUAACAUUAUAAGACGAGAAGACCCUGUGGAACUUUAAAUACAAAUCAAAUAACACUAACACCCACCUACGGGCCAACAUUCAAUUUAACACCUGAUUUAUAUUUUUCGGUUGGGGCGACCUCGGAGUAAAACAAAACCUCCGAAAAAUGGAACUUCUCCAAACCUAGGCUUACAAUUCAAAGUGCCUGCGGCAAAACGAUCCAACAUAUUUGAUCAACGAACCAAGCUACCCCAGGGAUAACAGCGCAAUCCCAUCCUAGAGUCCAUAUCGACGAUGGGGUUUACGACCUCGAUGUUGGAUCAGGACAUCCUGAUGGUGCAACCGCUAUCAAGGGUUCGUUUGUUCAACGAUUAACAGUCCUACGUGAUCUGAGUUCAGACCGGAGUAAUCCAGGUCGGUUUCUAUCUAUAAAUUUGAGCCUUUUCUAGUACGAAAGGACCGAAAAGACAAGGCCCAUAUCAUAAACAAGCCUUACCUUACAUUAGUGAAAACAACUCAACUAAAAAUAAGACAAAGCAAACCACAGCCCUAAAAAAGGGCCUA
rnacentral:rRNA from 1 species